rnacentral:lncRNA from 1 species
CUUUGUAUUGGAAGAAGAGAUUGUUAUUUAUUAGACAAAAAAUAGUAAGAGAACCAACGUUACAUUUAAUACUUGAGGUAAUAUUGGAAACUAAGCAAUUAAUGCUUACUUGAAAUUCUUAAACGAUUUAUAUUAAAGAACAAAAAUAUUUCUCUAAAACGACUUAUAUUAAGGAACGGAGGGAGUAUUCGGGAUCGGGGAUUGUGGGGUGAGGAAACAAAUAUCAUCAACUCUCCGUCCUCAUAAAUAAUAUUCAAUGAUUCUCCAUCAAAGAUCUCAUCUCCGAUCAAAGUUAAAAAAAUUACAGUCGGAGUUUAGAAUAGAACGUGAGGAUCACCCUGAUGAUGAGGCAAAUUGGCAUCCAUAUUCCAACCCCAAACAUAAUUUUUGAAACACCAGCCCAAUAUAAAAAGGACAAUUAUUUCCCAACAGUAGAUUUGUUACUUUGUGAAUUAUUGAAGAACUCAUGCCAAGUCCUUCUUCUUCCAAUUACCCUAAAUAUAAGAAAAUAAAAAGGAGUGAGAAGGUUGUAGAGCCCAACUGUAGGAAUGGGAAAGGGGAGGUUGGCAUCUCCCAGACAAGGAAGGGCCAGGGCAUGUCUAUUUGACAGUAGGCUGACCACCACUAUCUUAUUAUAUAGUACUACUAGUUGGAGUAUAUCUUAUGAAAAAAG